GUUCCAUCUUGUGCUCUUACUUUGAGAAGUUCAGCACUUUUCUCGAAUGGGUAGUACGGGCGGAGGCGGGGAAUGGAUUGGUGGUGCACUAUUUGGAUGAUUUCUUCUGCCUGGGGCUUGCCGGCGUUUGCUUCGGACUAUCGAGUGGGUCGCGGGUUGCUUCGGGGUCCCGCUGGCAGCAGAUAAAACAGAAGGCCUGGCAGUGUGCCUUAGUUUCCUG